GUCGAGCGAACAGACGAGGAGCUUGCUCCCCUGACGUUAGCGGCGGACGGGUGAGUAACACGUGGAUAACCUACCUAUAAGACUGGGAUAACUUCGGGAAACCGGAGCUAAUACCGGAUAAUAUAUUGAACCGCAUGGUUCAAUAGUGAAAGACGGUUUUGCUGUCACUUAUAGAUGGAUCCGCGCCGCAUUAGCUAGUUGGUAAGGUAACGGCUUACCAAGGCAACGAUGCGUAGCCGACCUGAGAGGGUGAUCGGCCACACUGGAACUGAGACACGGUCCAGACUCCUACGGGAGGCAGCAGUAGGGAAUCUUCCGCAAUGGGCGAAAGCCUGACGGAGCAACGCCGCGUGAGUGAUGAAGGUCUUCGGAUCGUAAAACUCUGUUAUUAGGGAAGAACAAAUGUGUAAGUAACUAUGCACGUCUUGACGGUACCUAAUCAGAAAGCCACGGCUAACUACGUGCCAGCAGCCGCGGUAAUACGUAGGUGGCAAGCGUUAUCCGGAAUUAUUGGGCGUAAAGCGCGCAUAGGCGGUUUUUUAAGUCUGAUGUGAAAGCCCACGGCUCAACCGUGGAGGGUCAUUGGAAACUGGAAAACUUGAGUGCAGAAGAGGAAAGUGGAAUUCCAUGUGUAGCGGUGAAAUGCGCAGAGAUAUGGAGGAACACCAGUGGCGAAGGCGACUUUCUGGUCUGUAACUGACGCUGAUGUGCGAAAGCGUGGG
rnacentral:rRNA from 1 species